rnacentral:rRNA from 1 species
ACACGCUGGCGGCGUGCCUAAUACAUGCAAGUCGAACGGUCUUUCUAUGGAAGCUUGCUUCACUGAGAAGAUAGUGGCGAACGGGUGAGUAACACGUGGGUAACCCUGCCCAUAAGAGGGGGAGUAACAUCCGGAAACGGGUGCUAAUACCGCAUAGUUUUCUUGAUUGCAUGAUUGAGAAAGGAAAGACGGCCUUUGUGCUGUCGCUUAUGGAUGGACCCGCGGCGUAUUAGUUAGUUGGUGAGGUAACGGCUCACCAAGACGAUGAUACGUAGCCGACCUGAGAGGGUGAUCGGCCACAUUGGGACUGAGACACGGCCCAAACUCCUACGGGAGGCAGCAGUAGGGAAUCUUCCGCAAUGGACGAAAGUCUGACGGAGCAACGCCGCGUGAGUGAAGAAGGUUUUUCCGGGAUCGUAAAACUCUGUUGUCAGAGAAGAACAAGUUGGAGAGUAACUGCUCCAGCCUUGACGGUAUCUGACCAGAAAGCCACGGCUAACUACGUGCCAGCAGCUGC